GGAGGCGUAUGAGGUGGUGGCCCCGACGCCGACGCCGCCGCCGGGAUCCCCUCCUAUCCCCAACGCCGUCGCCGCUCGGGGCCCUCCCUCUCCGCCGCGCUCUCCGCUUGGGGCCUUCCCUAUCGACGGCGACCUCACCGGCCCCCACGACGACCAGGUGGCCCCACUCCGACUCCGGCUCUCCUCCUCCUCGCAGCGUCCUCCCUCCCCGCCGCUGCCCCGUCCCCCAUCCCCAGCAUGGUAUCGCGAGAGAAGAGGACGCCGAUGCAGGGGCGGAGUCCGGCGGCGAGCUCCCCGUCCGUCGCGUCCAAGGGUAGCGCCGACCGGCGACCGUUGCUGACGAGCCUGGCGAGGCCGAAGGCGCCGAGCUCGACGUUGAAGGAGGCAUGCUCGGCUUAUGUGAUUGAAAUGGCAUUCUGUUAAAUCCACUCCUAUGGAGUGGCAUAUUGUUAAAUUUCUCCUCGUUCGCCUCCAAGGAUGCCGACGUGAUCUUGCCGACUGGGAAAGAAGGGGCUUGAGGAAAAAGAAGAAGCUUGACAGAAGACACCGGAUCUGGACGAAGGAGGGGCUCCAUCGUCAUCAUCGCCAUGAUCUUCCUUCUCUCCUCAUCGAAGCCACCAUCAUCUUCCCGACAGCUGUCAACUCUCCUCGUUUCUCUCUCUCCAGAUCGACCGGAUUGAGUGGCCUUGAGCUCGUGGCCGCCGGAUCUUCGACGGUGGGGCGAGUGGCAAGGUCCGGGUGGGUGGUGGGAUCCUGUGGGGAUCAAGGGGGCAGCGGGAUCUGGUAGGGAGGCCGGCGAUGGAUCUGGUGGGGAGGUACGCGGCGGAGUCGUGGUGAGGGUCGAGCGGUUGUUUGCGGCGAGGAGUCCGGCGGCGAUAGGAACAAGUGUGGCGAGAGCAAAUAAUUUUUCUUUUUCUUUGUUCUGUUUUCUCUAACCGAUCAAUCAUUUGUAACCUGUCAAGUUGUAACCACCGGCUUAAUACUGUACUCAAGCAUCUUUUUUUCCUGGUUGAUGAUUAUCCGAUCCA